rnacentral:rRNA from 1 species
GACGAACGCUGGCGGCGUGCUUAACACAUGCGAGUCGUACGGUAAGGCCCUUUCGGGGGUACACGAGUGGCGAACGGGUGAGUAACACGUGAGUAACCUGCCCACAACUUUGGGAUAACGCUAGGAAACUGGUGCUAAUACUGGAUAUGUGCUCCUGCUGCAUGGUGGGGGUUGGAAAGCUCCGGCGGUUGUGGAUGGACUCGCGGCCUAUCAGCUUGUUGGUGGGGUAGUGGCCUACCAAGGCGGCGACGGGUAGCCGGCCUGAGAGGGUGACCGGCCACAUUGGGACUGAGAUACGGCCCAGACUCCUACGGGAGGCAGCAGUGGGGAAUAUUGCACAAUGGGCGCAAGCCUGAUGCAGCAACGCCGCGGGCGGGAUGACGGCCUUCGGGUUGUAAACCGCUUUCAGCAGGGACGAAGCUUUUUGUGACGGUACCUGCAGAAGAAGCACCGGCUAACUACGUG